rnacentral:rRNA from 1 species
UGUGAGCUCGAUGAGUAGGGCGGGACACGUGGUAUCCUGUCUGAAUAUGGGGGGACCAUCCUCCAAGGCUAAAUACUCCUGACUGACCGAUAGUGAACCAGUACCGUGAGGGAAAGGCGAAAAGAACCCCGGCGAGGGGAGUGAAAAAGAACCUGAAACCGUGUACGUACAAGCAGUGGGAGCACAGAGCAAUCUGUGUGACUGCGUACCUUUUGUAUAAUGGGUCAGCGACUUAUAUUCUGUAGCAAGGUUAACCGAAUAGGGGAGCCGAAGGGAAACCGAGUCUUAACUGGGCGUUAAGUUGCAGGGUAUAGACCCGAAACCCGGUGAUCUAGCCAUGGGCAGGUUGAAGGUUGGGUAACACUAACUGGAGGACCGAACCGACUAAUGUUGAAAAAUUAGCGGAUGACUUGUGGCUGGGGGUGAAAGGCCAAUCAAACCGGGAGAUAGCUGGUUCUCCCCGAAAGCUAUUUAGGUAGCGCCUCGUGAAUUCAUCUCCGGGGGUAGAGCACUGUUUCGGCAAGGGGGUCAUCCCGACUUACCAACCCGAUGCAAACUGCGAAUACCGGAGAAUGUUAUCACGGGAGACACACGGCGGGUGCUAACGUCCGUCGUGAAGAGGGAAACAACCCAGACCGCCAGCUAAGGUCCCAAAGUCAUGGUUAAGUGGGAAACGAUGUGGGAAGGCCCAGACAGCCAGGAUGUUGGCUUAGAAGCAGCCAUCAUUUAAAGAAAGCGUAAUAGCUCACUGGUCGAGUCGGCCUGCGCGGAAGAUGUAACGGGGCUAAACCAUGCACCGAAGCUGCGGCAGCGACRCUUAUGYGUUGUUGGGUAGGGGAGCGUUCUGUAAGCCUGYGAAGGUGURCUGUGAGGYAUGCUGGAGGUAUCAGAAGUGCGAAUGCUGACAUAAGUAACGAUAAAGCGGGUGAAAAGCCCGCUCGCCGGAAGACCAAGGGUUCCUGUCCAACGUUAAUCGGGGCAGGGUGAGUCGACCCCUAAGGCGAGGCCGAAAGGCGUAGUCGAUGGGAAACAGGUUAAUAUUCCUGUACUUGGUGUUACUGCGAAGGGGGGACGGAGAAGGCUAUGUUGGCCGGGCGACGGUUGUCCCGGUUUAAGCGUGUAGGCUGGUUUUCCAGGCAAAUCCGGAAAAYYAAGGCUGAGGCGUGAUGACGAGGCACUACGGUGCUGAAGCAACAAAUGCCCUGCUUCCAGGAAAAGCCUCUAAGCAUCAGGUAACAUCAAAUCGUACCCCAAACCGACACAGGUGGUCAGGUAGAGAAUACCAAGGCGCUUGAGAGAACUCGGGUGAAGGAACUAGGCAAAAUGGUGCCGUAACUUCGGGAGAAGGCACGCUGAUAUGUAGGUGAAGUCCCUCGCGGAUGGAGCUGAAAUCAGUCGAAGAUACCAGCUGGCUGCAACUGUUUAUUAAAAACACAGCACUGUGCAAACACGAAAGUGGACGUAUACGGUGUGACGCCUGCCCGGUGCCGGAAGGUUAAUUGAUGGGGUYAGCGCAAGCGAAGCUCUUGAUCGAAGCCCCGGUAAACGGCGGCCGUAACUAUAACGGUCCUAAGGUAGCGAAAUUCCUUGUCGGGUAAGUUCCGACCUGCACGAAUGGCGUAAUGAUGGCCAGGCUGUCUCCACCCGAGACUCAGUGAAAUUGAACUCGCUGUGAAGAUGCAGUGUACCCGCGGCAAGACGGAAAGACCCCGUGAACCUUUACUAUAGCUUGACACUGAACAUUGAGCCUUGAUGUGUAGGAUAGGUGGGAGGCUUKGAAGUGUGGACGCCAGUCUGCAUGGAGCCGACCUUGAAAUACCACCCUUUAAUGUUUGAUGUUCUAACGUUGACCCGUAAUCCGGGUUGCGGACAGUGUCUGGUGGGUAGUUUGACUGGGGCGGUCUCCUCCUAAAGAGUAACGGAGGAGCACGAAGGUUGGCUAAUCCUGGUCGGACAUCAGGAGGUUAGUGCAAUGGCAUAAGCCAGCUUGACUGCGAGCGUGACGGCGCGAGCAGGUGCGAAAGCAGGUCAUAGUGAUCCGGUGGUUCUGAAUGGAAGGGCCAUCGCUCAACGGAUAAAAGGUACUCCGGGGAUAACAGGCUGAUACCGCCCAAGAGUUCAUAUCGACGGCGGUGUUUGGCACCUCGAUGUCGGCUCAUCACAUCCUGGGGCUGAAGUAGGUCCCAAGGGUAUGGCUGUUCGCCAUUUAAAGUGGUACGCGAGCUGGGUUUAGAACGUCGUGAGACAGUUCGGUCCCUAUCUGCCGUGGGCGCUGGAGAACUGAGGGGGGCUGCUCCUAGUACGAGAGGACCGGAGUGGACGCAUCACUGGUGUUCGGGUUGUCAUGCCAAUGGCACUGCCCGGUAGCUAAAUGCGGAAGAGAUAAGUGCUGAAAGCAUCUAAGCACGAAACUUGCCCCGAGAUGAGUUCUCCCUGACUCCUUGAGAGUCCUGAAGGAACGUUGAAGACGACGACGUUGAUAGGCCGGGUGUGUAAGCGCAGCGAUGCGUUGAGCUAACCGGUACUAAUGAACCGUGAGGCUUAACCUUACAACGCCGAAGVUGUU